UACGUAGGGGGCGAGCGUUGUCCGGAAUUACUGGGCGUAAAGGGCGCGCAGGCGGCCGUGUAAGUCCGCUGUGAAAGACCGGGGCUCAACCCCGGGGUGUCAGCGGGGACUGCACGGCUGGAGUCCCGGAGGGGGAGGCGGAAUACCUGGUGUAGCGGUGGAAUGCGUAGAGAUCAGGUGGAACACCGAUGGCGAAGGCAGCCUCCUGGACGGGUACUGGACGCUGAGGCGCGGAAAGCGUGGGGAGCGAACGGG
rnacentral:rRNA from 1 species